rnacentral:rRNA from 1 species
UGGGGGAUAUUGCACAAUGGGGGAAACCCUGAUGCAGCGACGCCGCGUGGGUGAAGAAGUAUUUCGGUAUGUAAAGCCCUGUCAGCAGGGACGAAGAUGACGGUACCUGAGGAAGAAGCCCCGGCUAACUACGUGCCAGCAGCCGCGGUAAUACGUAGGGGGCAAGCGUUAUCCGGAUUUACUGGGCGUAAAGGGAGCGUAGACGGCGCGCCAAGUCUGGAGUGAAAGCCCGGGGCCCAGCCCCGGGACUGCUUUGGAAACCGGCGAGCUGGAGCGCAGGAGGGGUGGGCGGAAUUCCUGGUGUAGCGGUGAAAUGCGUAGAUAUCAGGAGGAACACCGGCGGCGAAGGCGGCCCACUGGACUGCAGCUGACGUUGAGGCUCGAAGGCGUGGGGAGCAAACAGG